rnacentral:rRNA from 1 species
GCGAGUCAUUGUAGCAAUACAAGGCAGACGGCUCAGUAACGCGUAGUCAAUCUACCCUAUGGACGGGAAUAACCUCGGGAAACUGAGAAUAAUGCCCGACAGAACAUUAUACCUGGAACGGUUUAUGUUUCAAAUGAUUUAUCGCCGUAGGAUGGGACUGCGGCCUAUCAGUUUGUUGGUGAGGUAAUGGCCCACCAAGACUAUUACAGGUACGGGCUCUGAGAGGAGUAGCCCGGAGAUGGGUACUGAGACACGGACCCAGGCCCUAUGGGGCGCAGCAGGCGAGAAAACUUUGCAAUGUGCGAAAGCACGACAAGGUUAAUCCGAGUGGUUUCUGCUAAAGAAACCUUUUGCUAGUCCUAGAAACACUAGUGAAUAAGGGGUGGGCAAGUUCUGGUGUCAGCCGCCGCGGUAAAACCAGCACCCCAAGUGGUCAGGAUGAUUAUUGGGCCUAAAGCAUCCGUAGCUCGUUUUGUAAGUUUUCGGUUAAAUCCAUACGCUUAACGUAUGGGCUGCCGGGAAUACUGCAUAACUAGGAAGUGGGAGAGGUAGACGGUACUCGGUAGGAAGGGGUAAAAUCCUUUGAUCUAUUGAUGACCACCUGUGGCGAAGGCGGUCUACCAGAACACGUUCGACGGUGAGGGAUGAAAGCUGGGGGAGCAAACCGGAUUAGAUACCCGGGUAGUCCCAGCUGUAAACUAUGCAAACUCAGUGAUGCAUUGGCUUGUGGCCAAUGCAGUGCUGCAGGGAAGCCGUUAAGUUUGCCGCCUGGGAAGUACGUACGCAAGUAUGAAACUUAAAGGAAUUGGCGGGGGAGCACCACAAGGGGUGAAGCCUGCGGU